GGGGGGGGGGGGGGGGGGGGGGGGGGGGGGGAGGUAGGGGGAGGAGAGGAGGGGGUUGGUGGGGUGACGUUCGCGGGGGACGGGUGCGUAUCGCGUGGAUGACCUACCGAUCAGACUGGGGUCACUUCGGGACACGGGCGCUCGUACCGGCUCAUCUAUUGCAGCGCAUUGUUCACUAGUGAAAGACGGUUUUGCUUUCAAUUAUAGAUGGAUCCGCGACGAAUUAUCUAGUUGGUAAGUGAACGGCUUAACAAGUCAACGCUGCGCAGCCGACCUGAGAGGGGGAUCGGCCACACUGGAACUGAGACACGGUCCAGACUCCUACGGGAGGCAGCAGUAGGGAAUCUUCCGCAAAGGGCGAAAGCCUGACGGAGCAACGCCGCGUGAGUGAUGAAGGUCUUCGGAUCGUAAAACUCUGUUAUUAGGGAAGAACAAAUGUGUAAAUAACUAUGCACGUCUUGACGGUACCUAAUCAGAAAGCCACGGCUAACUACGUG
rnacentral:rRNA from 1 species